UACAGAGGAUGCAAGCGUUAUCCGGAAUGAUUGGGCGUAAAGCGUCUGUAGGUGGCUUUUUAAGUCCGCCGUCAAAUCCCACGGCUCAACCGUGGAACUGCUCGGUAUACUGCGUCGCUUGAGCCAGCUAGGGGCGACCGGAACAAACGGUGGAGCGGUGAAAUGCGUAGAUAUCGUUUGGAACGCCGAUGGUGAAAACAGGUCGCUGGGGCUGUGCUGACGCUGAGACACGAAAGCCAGGGGAGCGAACGGG
rnacentral:rRNA from 1 species